rnacentral:rRNA from 1 species
UACGUAGGGGGCAAGCGUUGUCCGGAUUUAUUGGGCGUAAAGAGCGUGUAGGCGCCAGGUAGGUCGGUUGUGAAAACUAGAGGCUUAACCUCUAGACGUCGACCGAAACCAUCUGGCUAGAGUCCGGAAGAGGAGAGUGGAAUUCCUGGUGUAGCGGUGAAAUGCGCAGAUAUCAGGAAGAACACCCGUGGCGAAAGCGGCUCUCUGGGACGGUACUGACGCUGAGACGCGAAAGCGUGGGGAGCGAACAGG